rnacentral:rRNA from 1 species
GAUGAACGCUGGCGGCGUGCCUAACACAUGCCAGUCGAGCGGCAGCGAGGGGUGCUUGCACCCUGUCGGCGAGCGGCGGACGGCUGAGUAACGCGUGGGAACGUCCCCCAAAGUGAGGAAUAACUGCCCGAAAGGGUAGCUAAUACCGCAUAUUAUCUUCGGAUCAAAGGAUUUAUCCGCUUUGGGAGCGGCUCGCGUCGGAUUAGGUAGUUGGUGAGGUAAUGGCUCACCAAGCCGACGAUCCGUAGCUGGUCUGAGAGGAUGACCAGCCAGACUGGAACUGGGACACGGUCCAGACUCCUACGGGAGGCAGCAGUGAGGAAUCUUCCACAAUGGGCGAAAGCCUGAUGGAGCAACGCCGCGUGCAGGAUGAAGGCCUUCGGGUUGUAAACUGCUUUUAUAAGUGAGGAAUAUGACGGUAACUUAUGAAUAAGGAUCGGCUAACUACGUG